GACGAACCGUGCGAACGUUGUUCGGAAUCACUGGGCUUAAAGGGCGCGUAGGCGGGCUAUCAAGUCCGGGGUGAAAUCCUCCAGCUUAACUGGAGAACUGCCUCGGAUACUGAUGGUCUCGAGGAGGAUAGGGGCACACGGAACUGUGGGUGGAGCGGUGAAAUGCGUUGAUAUCCAUAGGAACACCGGUGGCGAAGGCGGCAUUCUGGACCGAUAUUGACGCUGAGGAGCGAAAGCCAGGGGAGCAAACGGG
rnacentral:rRNA from 1 species